rnacentral:rRNA from 1 species
GACGAACGCUGGCGGCGUGCCUAAUACAUGCAAGUAGAACGCUGAAGGAGGAGCUUGCUUCUCUGGAUGAGUUGCGAACGGGUGAGUAACGCGUAGGUAACCUGCCUGGUAGCGGGGGAUAACUAUUGGAAACGAUAGCUAAUACCGCAUAAGAGUAGAUGUUGCAUGACAUUUGCUUAAAAGGUGCAAUUGCAUCACUACCAGAUGGACCUGCGUUGUAUUAGCUAGUUGGUGGGGUAACGGCUCACCAAGGCGACGAUACAUAGCCGACCUGAGAGGGGGGUCGGCCACACUGGGACUGAGACACGGCCCAGACUCCUACGGGAGGCAGCAGUAGGGAAACUUCGGCAAUGGACGGAAGUCUGACCGAGCAACGCCGCGUGAGUGAAGAAGGUUUUCGGAUCGUAAAGCUCUGUUGUAAGAGAAGAACGAGUGUGAGAGUGGAAAGUUCACACUGUGACGGUAUCUUACCAGAAAGGGACGGCUAACUACGUG